UACGUAGGUGGCAAGCGUUGUCCGGAUUUACUGGGCGUAAAGGAUGCGUAGGCGGACAUUUAAGUCAGAUGUGAAAUACCCGAGCUUAACUUGGGUGCUGCAUUUGAAACUGGGUGUCUAGAGUGCAGGAGAGGUAAGUGGAAUUCCUAGUGUAGCGGUGAAAUGCGUAGAGAUUAGGAAGAACACCAGUGGCGAAGGCGACUUCUGGACUGUAAACUGGACGCUGAGGAUGAAAGCGUGGGGAGCAAACAGG
rnacentral:rRNA from 1 species